GACGAACCGAGCGAACGUUGUUCGGAAUCACUGGGCUUAAAGGGCGCGUAGGCGGGCCGCCGCGUCUGGGGUGAAAUCCUCCCGCUCAACGGGAGAACGGCCUCGGAUACGGGCGGUCUGGAGGGGGGUAGGGGCGUGCGGAACUGUGGGUGGAGCGGUGAAAUGCGUUGAUAUCCACAGGAACUCCGGUGGCGAAGGCGGCACGCUGGACCCCACCUGACGCUGAGGCGCGAAAGCCAGGGGAGCGAACGGG
rnacentral:rRNA from 1 species